UACGUAGGGUGCAAGCGUUGUCCGGAAUUAUUGGGCGUAAAGAGCUCGUAGGCGGUCUGUCGCGUCUGGUGUGAAAACUCAAGGCUUAACCUUGGGCCUGCAUCGGGUACGGGCAGACUAGAGUGCGGUAGGGGAGACUGGAAUUCCUGGUGUAGCGGUGAAAUGCGCAGAUAUCAGGAGGAACACCGGUGGCGAAGGCGGCCUUCUGGGGCAUUCCUGACACUGAGAAGCGAAAGCUAGGGGAGCAAACAGG
rnacentral:rRNA from 1 species